rnacentral:rRNA from 1 species
CAGCAGCCGCGGGAAUACGUAGGGUGCAAGCGUUAAUCGGAAUUACUGGGCGUAAAGCGUGCGCAGGCGGUUUGUUAAGACAGAUGUGAAAUCCCCGGGCUCAACCUGGGAACUGCAUUUGUGACUGGCAAGCUAGAGUAUGGCAGAGGGGGGUGGAAUUCCACGUGUAGCAGUGAAAUGCGUAGAUAUGCGGAGGAACACCGAUGGCGAAGGCAAUCCCCUGGGCCUGUACUGACGCUCAUGCACGAAAGCGUGGGGAGCAAACAGGAUUAGAUACCCGUGUAGUCCCUGUCUCUUAUAC